AUUGAACGCUGGCGGCAGGCUUAACACACGCAAGUCGAGCGGAGAGAGGUAGCUUGCUACUGAUCUUAGCGGCGGACGGGUGAGUAAUGCUUAGGAAUCUGCCUAUUAGUGGGGGACAACAUUUCGAAAGGAAUGCUAAUACCGCAUACGUCCUACGGGAGAAAGCAGGGGAUCUUCGGACCUUGCGCUAAUAGAUGAGCCUAAGUCGGAUUAGCUAGUUGGUGGGGUAAAGGCCUACCAAGGCGACGAUCUGUAGCGGGUCUGAGAGGAUGGUCCGCCACACUGGGACUGAGACACGGCCCAGACUCCUACGGGAGGCAGCAGUGGGGAAUAUUGGACAAUGGGCGCAAGCCUGAUCCAGCCAUGCCGCGUGUGUGAAGAAGGCCUUAUGGUUGUAAAGCACUUUAAGCGAGGAGGAGGCUACUUUAGAUAAUACCUAGAGAUAGUGGACGUUACUCGCAGAAUAAGCACCGGCUAACUCUGUGCCAGCCGCCGCGGUAA
rnacentral:rRNA from 1 species